GGACUCUAUGGUAUGGGUGGAAGCCUUGAUCCCAUUUGAAAAAGGAGAGCUUCUUAGUACCAUACAUAAGGUUGGAAUGGUGGAGAGAACAAAAACUAAGGAAGAGAGGGAGAGGCAAAUUGGGUCAAACUAGAUAUAUCAUGGAAUAAGCACAGAGGAGUUUAGUUAGCUAAAAGGGUGAACGCUGGAAACAUUUAUAUGGUACUGCUGGAAACAUUUAUAGGUAUGAGGAACUUGCUUCUAACCCUAACAUGGAGUACAUUGCUGGAGGUGCUACUCAAAACUCCAUUUGAGUUGCCCAGUGUACACGAACAAAACAUGAACUUUUGGAACUCAUGUAGUUUUAUAACUUGCAACAAGUUAUUUUAGUUUUCCACCAAAUUUGCUCUAACUUAUAUCUCCCUUCACUACCAAAUUGAAAUUGUUAAAUGGUGUCAAGUGGUGUUCUAAGACAUAAAGCUAGGAUAUACUACUAAAUGUUAAUUUGCUUGAGCAGGCUUGGUCACAGUCUUUCAAUUGUAUCUCUUCUCAAUAUGUUCCAGCAAUAUAUGAGCUAUGAAGGAAGUUCUA